rnacentral:tRNA from 1 species
UUCCUAGCAGUCCAGUGGUUAGGACUCAGUGCUCUCACUGCUGGGGCCCAGGUUCAAUCCCUGGUUGGGAAA